UUCUCUCUCUCUCACCCCUCUCACUGCAUCUCUCUUGCAGGAAGCGGUCUCUGCUCACGAUUCUCUCUCACCCCUCCCACUGCAUCUCUCUCACGGCACUCUCUCUGCAAACGAGUCUCUCUCUCACCCAUCUCACUGUAGCUCUCUCACAACCCUCUCUCUGCUGACGAAGGAGCGGGUUUCUCUACUCUGUUGCGGUCUCCUCCGCUAGCGAAGGUUUCUCUCUGCUCACGAAGGUCUCUCUUCCUCCCAAGAGUUCAAGUUUAUAUGUGUAAUGUAGCAGCAGAGAUGAGGCAAAACCAACCCUUCUGAGUUUUACAUAUUCUUCCUCAUCUGGGUUCACAACCUAUUAGCCAACAACAUUUACUUUCCUAUUAUAUACUUGGGUGUCUUGUCCAUUGGUGCCAUUGCCACUGCCAUUAAUCGUCUCAAUAGUCUCCCUGAGAUACAGAAGCAAUUGAACCAUUGCUUAAGAAGAAAUGAUAAGCAGCAAAAAUGGGAGAUGUAACUACAGUAACUCUUUUGAUGGGUGUGGGGAUCUCAAGGAAAUGAAGAAAGGGUUGGAAACCCUGUUUUGUCUACUGCUCAGGGAAGCCAAUUAGCAUGGAGGUCCAAGAGAUAAUGUUGGGUGCAAGAGCUGUCCCAAAAAUCUGGGUGGUAGACACCAUUCGUUGUUCACAGUUAGAGUACACAGUUAUUAGAGCAUUGAUCACUGGUGUUUCAGAAACAAACCCUGUGUCCAUCAUGCAACCAUGAAGCUGCAAGCCCAGAUACAAGUCUCUUGGUUCUGAACAGGCCUUUGUGACGCUUGUCAAGGUGUAGCCAUCAAAUCCUACACCCUCCUUUAAGAAGAGACAUAAAUGCCACUAUUGAGAGGGCUGUUUGGGAUGUUAGUCCAGAGAUAAAGAUUGCUGUAGAAAACAUAAUAGAAGUGAUAAAGUACAUUAAUAAGUUAAGUGUCUAUUAUCUCUGGCCCAUUCAUAUAAUCUAUCUCAAGUACAUUAUUACUGGGAAAAGAAUUACAAAAACAAAGAUUUCUUCAAUCCAUUAUUACAUUAUUCUGUUUUGUGAAUCUUUAACACUUACUCAGUCGAGCAUUGCAUUC